rnacentral:tRNA from 1 species
GCCAGUGUGGCUCAGUGGAUAGAGCGUCGGCCUGUGGACUGAAGGGUCCCGGGUUCGAAUCCAGACAAGGGCA